UACGUAGGGUGCAAGCGUUAAUCGGAAUUACUGGGCGUAAAGCGUGCGCAGGCGGUUAUGUAAGACAGGUGUGAAAUCCCCGGGCUUAACCUGGGAAUGGCAUUUGGGACUGCAAGGCUGGAGUGUAGCAGAGGAGACUGGAAUUCCCGGUGUAGCAGUGAAAUGCGUAGAUAUCGGGAGGAAUACCGAUGGCGAAGGCAGGUCUCUGGGCUGACACUGACGCUCAUGCACGAAAGCGUGGGGAGCAAACAGG
rnacentral:rRNA from 1 species